GCUUACGGCCACACCGGCUGAGUUACGCCUGAUCUCGUCCGAUCUCGGAAGCUAAGCAGGGUCGGGCCUGGUUAGUACUUGGAUGGGAGACCGCCUGGGAAUACACAGGUGCUGUAAGCU
rnacentral:rRNA from 1 species